AUGCCUUAAUAACCACAUUUAUUUCACAUGGACUGUCGGUUUCAGUCGUUUUGGGGACCCAGGAUCAAAGAGUGGGAACAAAUGUGGAAGCUGAAAAGAAAUGAUAGGCUGAAUUGAGCUACUCUUGCGGAAAUUGCUUGGAAUGUAUUGCCAACUCGUUUCGUGCUAGCUAAAAUGAUCACUGAGUUAGAAGAGUUCCAAGCUAUUGCCACCUAUGUAACUUAGCUCAUGAAAUAUUCGAACCUUAUUUUUCAUUCACUCUUUUGCGCGGAUUAUUUGGAGAGAAUCCUCUUGACCACUCAACAUCUCAAUUUGUUGCAGACCAUAUGUUUAAGCUGUAACUCCCGUGACCACGUGGAUAAUUUUUUUUCACUCUAUCUUUGUUUUCUUUGGUUUCCAUUUUCCCACGCCGUGACGCGUAUUUUUUUUCUUUGGAUCUCUUCUUUACGCCGUAUCACCCGCGGGAAUUCUUUUUCUCUCUCUUCUUCGUUUCUUCCCCCACAGUCCUCACCUACUCUCACCCACCCUCAUCCAAUCCCACCUACGCCCUCAGACUCGCUCGCCUUUCGUUCUCUUUAUUUUCUUCACGGAUCAGCUGCACUACACAACUCAGUCUCCGUUUUCAUCACACAAAAACAGAGUACCCCAAACCGAACGACAUCUCGACCACGACCGUAGCUCACUCGGAGAACCGCCGUGAAGCCAUCUACUGCUCAGUCGUCAGCCACCCUCACACACGGCAAUGUCACCACAAGCCGCCAGCCCGACGUCCGAUGACCCAUCUUCCUAAGCCGUCCAACACUGUAAAGCUAUCCCACCAUCAACGAAGGCCCUGUUUUCAAGCAUCGAAACAGAGGACUAGUCCCCCACCGUGAGCUCUCUGCCCGUCCGCCAUUCAACGCCAAUCGUGCCAUCCCAGGCCGCCGUGUGCCUCUCGGUGCCCAACGCCAGCUCCGUCUGAAGUGCUCAGCCGCACGGUGGUCUCUGUUUCGUUGAGUUUGUGCUGCCGCCGCCACUCUUUUGUUUUCCUCUUGGGUAAGCUGCCGCACAGCCCUCGCUCUAGCUUAAGGCCCGUUUGGGACUGCAGUAGAGUUUUAAAAUGUUUAAAGAGCUUUAAAAAUAUUUAAUAAAAAAAAUUAGAUUAUUUGAAUUUUACGUAUUAAAAUAUUUUUAGAGUAAAUAAGUUAAAAGUAUUUUAUUUUCUUGCAACGCAAGUAAUUUCCAAGCAAUGUGUCAUUCAACUGAUUCCGAGCAAGGACUAAAUUCUUACACAAUAUAUGAUCAAAUUGGGCAAGGCAUGAAUGUGCGGGAGAAAAUGUUGCUACAUUUUUUUUAUAUGAAAAAAUAUAAUCUUUAAAAUGCAUAUUAAUUAGAAAUAAUCAUUAAGAUUGAGAAUCAUUGAGAACCUUGGUUAUUUUGCCAAUCAAAUAAAAAAUAUUUUAGAACCUCAUGGACAAAAAUGUAGCCCAUCAAACACAAAUCUCAAGGACAAAGAGGUACUUUUACCCAUCAAACACAUUAGAAACUCAAAGACACAGGUAAUUUUGCUUACCAAACACAAACCUGAAGGACAAAAGAUAACUUUUGAAUCAAACACAAACUACUAACAAACCUCAAGGACAGAAAGGUAAUUUUUCAUCAAACACAAACUAUUAACAAAUGUAAGGGCAAAAGGGUAAUUUUUCUGCUAUUCACAUGUGGGUAGAUGCAUUUAUACAUAGAGUAGAUAUAUGACAACUAAGACAAUGCUAUAGGCUACUGCAAUAUAUAUAACUAGACAUGCAAUUGAUUCAGAGAUCACAAAGCUCAAGAGGCUGAACACAUAGGAUUGCAUAUCACAAGAUCAAGAAUGCCGCUAUCUAUCAUAGGAUACAAGAGGUUUAUACCACUGAACAAGAUCUGAGUUCAGAAUCCACAAUGAAAUUGUGCAAAUGGAGUCAAAUGCAUAAUCAUUUCAGUAUCUGCAUUCUGAAACAAUUACCACUCUUUAAUUUAGAACUCACAAGAACAGUUUUCAUAGAGAAGUACUCCUGUCAAGCUAUAGAAACUUAUGCCGUGAAAAUUUCUAUUAACAAACUUCGUUUCAAGGUACUCGACCCCACCCCUAAUAUUGAAGUCCUCCUGUCUAGAUAUAUAGACAUGUAAGAUGCCAAAAUUUCUAUCACUAGACUUUGUUUCAGGGAAUUUGGUCAGGCUACCAUUUUCAAUUCGGGGAGAGAGAGAGAGAGAGAGAGAGAGAGAGAGAGAGAGAGGGGGCGGGUUGGGAGUUUUGCCCGCAAAGAGGAGAACAAAUUCUAAUCAAAAUUAGCACAAGAAGCCAAACUAGUGUGAUGUAUUUGGAAAGCCAAACUUCAAAAGUAGAAUUCUGAUGAUGAAAUGUAGAAGUAUAUGGUUUAUACAGUGAAAGUAGACAGAUACCAGAGCGAGCGGAUGUAGGCAUAUCGCCGAGCGACAUUAUGUAACCCUACUUCGCCGCUCCCUCUUGUGAAUGUAGGCACAUCACCGAAUUACAUUUUUUCUCUUUUGAUUAUUUUGUACAAUUCAUAAGCAAUUACCGCAUGUUUCACAACAUGAAAGCAUAUAACAGUACCUUGGAAAUUAAGUGAAAGUCAUAGCAAUACUCGUGCUUACCACCUGCAUGGCAAAAAGCUAAUGAGAUCUUACACACUGAGAAACUUGUAAACUUGUUCCAAGUAUUAAUUAACAACAAGAUUCAUUCAUAAUGGACUGAUUCACUUGUCAUGCCCCCACCACCAACAUUUUUUUAUAGGUAAAAAGAAUUCUUUUUCGUUAGGCUAUUUAUGCAGGGAAUAUGGAUGGCAAACUAAGAUUGCAACAAUUAAACCUUCCUGCCUGGGAGUUAGAUAUAUUUUUAUACCGGAACGGCUAAAUAUAAGUAGUAGUAGCACAUUUGAAGUAUAAAUAAAAUAUAAAAGAAAAAGAAUUGUUAUUGACAAGCUUACCUCUAGUAUUAUCAACUUCUGCUGAUGUUCACCUAAGUACUCCUUAUAUUGCCAAGCAAUCCUCAAACCCUCCUACAAUUUGUGCAAACACAGAAAUCGAGAUUUUUUGGUCUCCCAAAUCAGAAACACAAAUAAACAAAUGAAGUAAAUGGAAGAAGCAGAGCACCUGUUCAGGAUCAUGACCAUGAGACUUAUCUUUAUCAUCUUUGCAAGACCUUGGACUAGGCAAAGUGCCCAGAAAUCCUUUUGGGUCUUUGGAUGGACUGGCAUACAGAAGGGGUUGCUUGUGAACAAGUCCUUGAGACAUAAAGCUCCUCAACAAAAGCAUGUGAUGAAGUGCUUCUGCAUCUUCCAUCACCAUGACUAGGCUUCCCAAAGCAAACCCACCGCCUAAAAUCUCUACAAAUAAGGCAAUAAAUAAAAAGAACUCCUGAGAUGCAGACUGCACAAGUAAUUGUUAAAGCCAUAAUGAUAUCAUUGUGUACGAUACUUCGAUCCUGAGAAAGUUAAUAAACGUAGAGAAUUACUGUCGAGGUCUGGUAUCCCAGAUGAGAUAAAGACCAUGCCAUUGGGACCACAUUAGACGAGGGUACGGCUGUGAGGUUGCGAGAGAAGCUGCUUGUUCGAGACUUGCUUGUAGCCGGACCAUAUUAUUAGAAUAUUAUUUUUUAAUAUUAUUAUUAUUUUGAGAUUCAAAAAAGUUGAAUUGUUUAUUAUAUUUUGUAUUAAAUGUUGAAAAAGUUAUAAUGAUUAAAUAAGAGAAGUUGAGGAACCAAAUGCAGUCUAAAACUCUACAACAUUUUGAAUGUGCAAAAUUAGAAAAGAAGUAAUUCAACAGCAAAGCUCACUGAUAGCUAUUGUUUUCAUUAGAGUAGUCAUCUCCGCAUUACCUUCAUUGGCCAUCCUUAUGUCAAGAAACUAAUCUAAAAAAAUUCAAUUUUCUAACUCCCCACACCCUAACUCUUUCUUGGGCUUUCCCUUUGGAUGGUAUUGUCGCGCCUCUUACCCAAGGAGGGAGUUCCUACGACUUAACAUCAGAUUUUCAACAAUACAGGUGCUGAAAACGUAGUUGCCGACCACUUGUCUCGGCUUACAUUUGCUGAAAAUGAGCACACUUUUCCAGUAUAGACUCCAACGAUAAAGGGAGAGGCUUUGUAACAUGUAAAACUCUUUUGUUCCAACAAAUAUAUGUUCCUCCCCAGAGACAUAAAUGAACUUCUCCAACAUAUAAAAUAAAAGAAAACUCUCCACAGAGACUCAGAUAAUGCAACAUUAUCUCAAAAUACUAUUCAAAAGUACAGUAACUAAUUUCCUAAAUAAAAUCCUUCAAUAGUCUCUUGUAUCCUUUGGCCAAAGUGAUUGCACUCAGAACAAAGGCCACUACUACAACCCAUGGAAGGGUUGGAGGCCAUUAUUAUUACCUGUGACAUGGUCGGAAGUCACUAUUAUUACCCAUAGUAGGCCAAAGGCCACCAGUAUAGCCUAUGGCAGUGCCUGUAAAUAAAGCACAACAGAAUCUUAUGCCUCAGGACUAUCUUAUGCAAUAUCAUAUCAUAACAAAGUACUGACCAAAUAAAUAUCAUGUAAUCAUAUAAAAAUUUCAAACUUCAUAUUCACAUUUUAUGUAGUAGAGAAACAGAGUACAAAAAUUGAUCAUAUUUACACCAGUCGUGAUAAAACAUCACGACUAAAUGUCAGAUACAAAGACUAGUGCCAAAAAUAAGCAAGACUGUUUUUAUAACAAAAUAUACUACUUCUUCACCAAAUUACCUGACUUUGUAAUAUGCAAUCUAAACUUUGAACUCCAACAGAACCAGUAUCACGACCCAAUCCAAAAAAUAUAUCAUAAAAGAUAUCUUACACAGGCCGAUACUGGAUAGUGAGAGCACUAACUAGAUCGCGUGAAAUACAGGACUCUGGACUGUUCAUUGGCUGAACUUUAAAGUUAGAAACUCUAAUUAUUUCCACGUUGAUUUGGACUGAUUCCACCACAUGAUACGCCAAAGACUUUUAGAAAAAGUGGAAGAAGACCUAAGUUACUAAAGUCGGAAGCUCUCAGUUUCCACAUUGACUUGAAUUAAUCUUACUCCGUAGAAACCUGCGAAAUGCUUAAUAUCCAAAUCUAUUUAACAUGGACUAUCGGUUUCAGUUUAGAAUAUUCAGAAAUUUUGGUUCAUUUUCUGUCAAAAUGCUUAAUAUCCAAAUUCAGGUUUUUGGGGCCUAGCUUGGAUCUAAGUGUCGGAACAGAUGUGGAAACUGGAAAGAAAUGAUAGACUGAAUUAAGUUACUCUUAUGGAAAUUGCUUGGAAUGUAUUCAAUUCAUGUUGUGCUAGCUAAAAUGAUCUCUAAGUUAGAAGAGUUCCAAGCUCAUUGCCACCUAUAUAAGACUGCUCAUGAAAUUUUCGAACACCUAUUUUUUAAUAGCACUUUUGCACGGAUUCUUUGGAGAUAAUCCUCUUGACAACUCAACAUCUCAUAAUUUGUUGCAAGGGGUAUGUAUCUAAGGAGUUGAUUAAAGUGAUUCUUAAUUCCUAGUGUUAGACGGGGGUUUGACAAAAACGAAAUUAUCCAUAGCUCUACUAGGUGAAUGGACAACUAUAGUGAUUCUUCAAGUAAUAAUUUCGCAUGUAAAUUAGUCUUGGAAAAAUCAAACAAUAGGGACCAGUGAGAUCAUGUUGGAAAAAUCAAGCGUCCCAGUCUUUGAAGACACGAAACAAUUUGCAGAAGUGCCGUAUGAAUUCCCAAAUGAACCGUCAAUCGAGGCCUGGUUCAGUCCUAACAGACUGAGCAACUUUGCUGGUUCUUUUUUGUGCCCAAGAUGAAAGCUUCUUGACAUAUUUAAGAGGUAAAAAAAAAUUUUGACAAGUAAAUAGUAUCCAAUUGCAUUCAAAGAGCAUGGAGUUGACAAUUAAACAGGUUUGGUCAAUCUUCUACUGCGAUGCCAGAUGAGAUGGACAAGUUACCUCUUAUUAUACAACUAAAAACUUUACAGGUAAUUUUGAGCUCAAUUGCUUUUAAGUUCUGUCAUACAAUUAUUCUUGGUAUAAAUCUUGAAAAAUGGUUCAUCAUUUGACAACUUCAAAUGGCAACUUUGGUUGCCUUGAAUUUGAUUGUUAGUGAGAUACUUUGUUUGGCUAUUUGGCUUUUUAUUUAUUGUUUUUUCACAUUGACUUUUUGUUAGUUGAAGUCUCUAGAGUCAGAAAUUAGAUGCAUUUUCGAAUGCACACCAUGUCAGAAACUUUUGUUAUUUGAGCUUGUCAUCUUAGUGAAUUGAAGGGGAUACUUUUCGUACAUACUUUCCAAUAUCACUUGAAGGGUAGCAUAUCUACUGGAAAAAUCCCCUUCAUCAAGUAAAGGUACUUUCCACCUGGACUCUUUCUUUUGUAAUUAUUUCCUGAGUUGCCAAAUAUAAGUUAUUUUCUUAUUUUCAUCUUUUUAUAAUUACUGAGAAGUUAUUUGCUUGGUUAGCUUGCAAUAAACAUCUGUCUGUAGUUUGUGCUAUGGAUUUAAAUUACAACUCUUUCAACUUUCAUCAAAGAAAGUUAAUGAUUUUUAUGGGAUUGACCUCUUUUCCUAUUGAGUUCAUAUGCUCAGUUAUAUUAUUGACUACUCUUAAUUCCAUCUGCUUUGGUAGAUUUUUUUGAAUCGGAAUUGCAUAUAAAAACAUUACUUAUAUAUAUUACACGCAACAACGACAUUACUUAUGUGUGUGUGUGUGUAUAUAUAUAUAUAUAUAUAUUACACGCAACAAAAACAUUGAUUAUGUAAAAAAUUUCCAUCAGCAUUUAGAAAUCCAUAUUCUAUUGAAUUUUCUAUGAUUUAGAAGAAGGUCUACAUGAACGGUCUAGGAUUCUGAGCUUUGUAGAGAUAGAAAUGAAUGGUUUCAAAGGAAACAGAGUAUUAGGUAAUGAAAUACCCUUCAUAAAUUAAAAUGGAAUUAUCCUUUUAAAGUGUGUUACCCCUGUUGUAUGAAUUUGCUUAGAGAACCAGCAGCUGUAGCAUCUUGAAGAGUGAAACGAUCAACAGUAUACAUAAGGGUGGGCAGCCAAAAUGAGCAGCAGUGUAUCAUAAAAGCUAGAGAGAAAAACGGUAUACAAAUGAAUAGAAACGGCAAGUUGACAUAUCUGAUAUAUCUGACAUUAAAUUGUUUCUUAAGUUUGAUUUUAACAGUUCCUAUUUGCAUUUUUCAGUUGACUUGCUUGUUAGGUUUGGUUGCUGAUAUAUUGGUUUAUGCACUCUACUUGUCUCUUAAGGCCUAUAAUUUUCUUCAUUUUAGAAUCAAACCAUAUCGGAGUCAUGCUUUUCAUGAUGAACUUUGGUUGCUGUUUGUAGGCAUGCACAAUGAUUUUGCAGACUAUCUUACAAACUUGUGCUUUGAAAAAAAUUGUUCAGUGUUAUAUCAACUAAGCUGGAAAUGUUUGUUGUUCA